ensembl:lncRNA
GGGACGCAGUGGGGGUCAAUGGGGGGCCGUGGGGGUCAAUGGGGGUCCCUGGGGGUCAAUGGGACUCUGUGGGGGUCAAUGGGGGUUCAAUGGGGGCAAUGGGGGUUCGUGGGGCUCAAUGGGACUCAAUGGGGGUUCAAUGGGGGUUCAAUGGGACUCAGUGGGGGUCAAUGACAGUCUGUGGGGGUCAAUGGGGGUUCAAUGGGACUCAAUGGGGUUCAAUGGGAGUCCGUGGGGGUCAAUGGGGGUUCAAUGGGGGUUCAGUGGGACUCAGUGGGGUUCAAUGGGGGUUCAAUGGGACUCAGUGGGGGUCAAUGGGAGUCCGUGGGGGUCAAUGGGGGUCCCUGGGGGUCAAUGGGGGUUCAAUGGGACUCAGUGGGGUUCAAUGGGGGGCCGUGGGGGUCAAUGGGGGUCCCUGGGGGUCAAUGGGGGUUCAAUGGGGGUUCAGUGGGACUCAGUGGGGUUCAAUGGGGGUUCAAUGGGACUCAGUGGGGGUCAAUGGGAGUCCGUGGGGGUCAAUGGGGGUCCCUGGGGGUCAAUGGGGGUUCAAUGGGACUCAGUGGGGUUCAAUGGGAGUCUGUGGGGGUCAAUGGGAGUCCGUGGGGGUCAAUGGGGGUCCCUGGGGGUCAAUGGGGGUUCAAUGGGACUCAGUGGGGUUCAAUGGGAGUCUGUGGGGGUCAAUGGGAGUCCGUGGGGGUCAAUGGGACUCAAUGGGGGUCAAUGGGGGUCCCUGGGGGUCAAUGGGACGCAGUGGGGGUGAAUGGGGGUUCAAUGGGGGGCAAUGGGGGUUCGUGGGGCUCAAUGGGACUCAAUGGGGGUUCAAUGGGACUCAGUGGGGUUCAAUGGGACUCAAUGGGGGGUUCAAUGGGACUCAGUGGGGUUCAAUGGGAUUCCGUGGGGGUCAAUGGGGGUUCAAUGGGGGUUCAAUGGGACUCAGUGGGGUUCAAUGGGGGUUCAAUGGGGGUCAAUGGGACUCAAUGGGGGUCAAUGGGAGUUCAAUGGGCCUCAGUGGGGUUCAAUGGGAGUCCGUGCGGGGUUAAUGGGGGACGAUGGGGGUUCAAUGGGGGUUCAAUGAGACUCAGUGGGGGUCAAUGACAGUCUGUGGGGGUCAAUGGGCGUUCAAUGGGACUCAGUGGGGUUCAAUGGGAGUCCGUGGGGGUCAAUGGGGGUUCAAUGGGACUCAGUGGGGUUCAAUGGGGGUUCAAUGGGGGUCAAUGGGGGUUCAAUGGGAGUCUGUGGGGGUCAAUGGGGGUUCAAUGGGGGUUCAAUGGGGGUUCAAUGGGACGCAGUGGGGGUCAAUGGAGGUUCAAUGGGGGUUCAAUGGGACUCAAUGGGAGUCAAUGGGGGUUCAGUGGGACUCAGUGGGGUUCAAUGGGACUCAAUGGAGGUCAAUGGGGGUUCAAUGGGGGUUCAAUGGGAGUCUGUGGGGGUCAAUGGGGGUCCCUGGGGGUCCCUGGGGGUUCAGUGGGACUCAGUGGGGUUCAAUGGGAUUCAAUGGGGGUCAAUGGGGGUUCAAUGGGAGUCUGUGGGGGUCCGUGGGGGUCAAUGGGGGUCCCUGGGGGUCAAUGGGGGUUCAAUGGGGGUUCAAUGGGAGUCUGUGGGGGUCCGUGGGGGUCAAUGGGACUCAGUGGGGGUCAAUGGGAGUCCGUGGGGGUCAAUGGGGGUCCCUGGCGGUCAAUGGGGGUUCAAUGGGGGGCAAUGGGGGUUCAAUGGGAGUCUGUGGGGGUCAAUGGGGGUUCAAUGGGGGGCAAUGGGGGUUCAAUGGGACUCAGUGGGGUUCAGUGGGGGUUCAAUGGGGGGCAAUGGGGGUUCAGUGGGACUCAGUGGGGUUCAAUGGGACUCAAUGGGGGUCAAUGGUGGUUCAGUGGGACUCAGUGGGGGUCAAUGUGAGUCCAUGGGGGUCAAUGGGGGUCCCUGGGGGUCAAUGGGGGUUCAAUGGGACUCAGUGGGGUUCAAUGGGGGUUCUAUGGGGGUUCAGUGGGAGUCCGUGGGGGUCAAUGGGGGUUCAAUGGGGGUUCACUGGGACUCAGUGGGGUUCAAUGGGACUCAGUGGGGUUCAGUGGGAGUUCAAUGGGUUUCAAUGGGGGUUCAGUAGGAUUCAGUGGGAGUUCAAUGGGGUUCAAUGGGGUUCAGUAGGAUCCAAUGGGGUUCAAUGGGAGUUCAAUGGGUUUCAAUGGGAGUCAAUGGGGUUCAAAUGGAUUCAAUGGGGCUCAAAGGGAUUCAAUGGGAGUCAAUGGGGGUUCAAUGGGGGUCAAUUGGGUUCUAUGGGAAUCAAUGGGGUUCAAAGGGAUUCAAUGGGAGUCAAUGGGUUCAAAGGGAUUUGAUGGGGAUUCAAUUGGGAUUCAGUGGGGUUCAAUGGGGUUCAAAGGGAGUUCAAUGGGUUUCAGUGGGGGUUCAGUAGGAUUCAAUGGGGUUCAAUGGGAGUUCAAUGGGUUUCAAUGAGAGUCAAUGGGGUUCAAAUGGAUUCAAUGGGGCUCAAAGGGAUUCAAUGGGAGUCAAUGGGGGUUCAAUGGGGGUCAAUUGGGUUCAAUGGGAAUCAAUGGGGUUCAAAGGGAUUCAAUGGGAGUCAAUGGGGUUCAGUGGGAGUCAAUGGGGUUCAAAGGGAUUUGAUGGGAUUCAAUGGGGUUCAGUGGGAGUCAAUGGGGGUUCAGUGGGGAUAUGGGGACAGCACUGGGGAUAUCGUUGGGGACAGAGGGACAUGGGGAUAUGGGGACAUGAAUGGGGACAUGAUUGGGGAGAUUGUUGGGGAUAUGGGGACAUGAAUGGGGACAUGGGGACAUCGUUGGGGAUAUGGGGACAUGAAUGGGGACAUCGUUGGGGACAUGGGGAUAUGGGGACAUGAAUGGGGACAUGGGGACAUCGUUGGGGAUAUGGGGACACGAAUGGGGACAUGGGGACAUCGUUGGGGAUAAGGGACAUGAAUGGGGACAUCAUUGGGAACAUAGGGAUAUGGGGACAUGAAUGGGGACAUCAUUGGGAACAUAGGGAUAUGGGGACAUGAAUGGGGACAUCAUUGGGGACAUGAGGAUAUGGGGACAUGAAUGGGGACAUGAAUGGGGACAUCGUUGGGGAUAUGGGGACAUGAAUGGGGACAUGGGGACAUCGUUGGGGAUAUGGGGACAUGAAUGGGGACAUCAUUGGGGACAUGGGGAUAUGGGGACAUGAAUGGGGACAUGGGGACAUCGUUGGGGAUAUGGGGACACGAAUGGGGACAUGGGGACAUCGUUGGGGAUAUGGGGACAUGAAUGGGGACAUCAUUGGGAACAUAGGGAUAUGGGGACAUGAAUGGGGACAUCGUUGGGGAUAUGGGGACAUGAAUGGGGACAUGGGGACAUCGUUGGGGAUAUGGGGACAUGAAUGGGGACAUCAUUGGGAACAUAGGGAUAUGGGGACAUGAAUGGGGACAUCAUUGGGGACAUGAGGAUAUGGGGACAUGAAUGGGGACAUCGUUGGGGAUAUGGGGACAUGAAUGGGGACAUCAUUGGGGACAUAGGGAUAUGGGGACAUGAAUGGGGACAUCAUUGGGGACAUCGUUGGGGAUAUGGGGACAUGAAUGGGGACAUCGUUGGGGAUAUGGGGACACAAAUGGGGACAUGGAGACAUCGUUGGGGAUAAGGGACAUGAAUGGGGACAUCAUUGGGAACAUAGGGAUAUGGGGACAUGAAUGGGGACAUCGUUGGGGAUAUGGGGACACAAAUGGGGACAUGGGGACAUCGUUGGGGAUAUGGGGCCAUGAAUGGGGACGUGGGGAUAUGGGGACAUCGCUAGGGAUAUGGGGCCAUGAAUGGGGACGUGGGGACAUCGCUGGGGAUAUGGGGCCAUGAAUGGGGCCAUGAAUGGGGCCAUGAAUGGGGACGUGGGGACAUCGCUGGGGAUAUGGGGCCAUGAAUGGGGCCAUGAAUGGGGAUGUGAAGGACGGCUGUGGGGACACUGGAGGGCCAGCAAUGGGGCCACCAAUGGGACUGAAUGGGGACAGCAAUGGGGACACCAAUUUGAAUGAAGGGGGCCACCAAUGGGGCCACCAAUGGGACUGAAGGGGGACACCAAUGGGGCCACCAAUGGGACUGAAUGGGGACAGCAAUGGGGACAUCAAUGGGACUGAAUGGGGCCAGCAAUGGGACUGAAUGGGGAAUGAAUGGGGACAUCAAUGGGACUGAAUGGGGCCACCAAUGGGACUGAAUGGGGACUGAAUGGGGACUGAAUGGGGACACCAAUGGGGACACCAAUGGGACUGAUUGGGGCCACCAAUGGGACUGAAUGGGGACUGAAUGGGGACAUCAAUGGGACUGAAUGGGGCCACCAAUGGGACUGAAUGGGGACUUAAUGGGGACUGAAUGGGGACACCAAUAGGGCCACCAAUGGGACUGAAGGGGGACACCAAUGGGACUGAAUGGGGCCACCAAUAGGGCCACCAAUGGGACUGAAGGGGGACACCAAUGGGACUGAAUGGGGCCACCAAUGGGGACACCAAUGGGACUGAAUGAGAACACUAAUGGGGCCAGCAAUAGGGACACCAAUGGGACUGAAUGGGGCCACCAAUGGGGCCACCAAUGGGGCCACCAAUGGGACUGAAUGAGGACAGCAAUGGGGCCACCAAUGGGACUGAAUGGGGCCACAAAUGGGGACACCAAUGGGACUGAAUGGGGCCACCAAUGGGGCCACCAAUGGGACUGAAUGGGGACAGCAAUGGGGCCACCAAUAGGGCCACCAAUGGGGCCACCAAUGGGACUGAAUGGGGACAGCAAUGGGGCCACCAAUGGGGCUGAAUGGGGCCACCAAUGGGACUGAAUGGGGCCACCAAUGGGGCCACCAAUGGGACUGAAUGGGGACACCAAUGGGGACACCAAUAGGGCCACCAACGGGACUGAAUGGGGCCACCAAUGGGGCCACCAAUGGGACUGAAUGGGGACAGCAAUGGGGCCACCAAUGGGGCUGAAUGGGGACAGCAAUGGGACUGAAUGGGGACACCAAUGGGGCCACCAAUGGGACUGAAUGGGGCCACCAAUGGGGCCACCAAUGGGACUGAAUGGGGACAGCAAUGGGGCCACCAAUGGGGCUGAAUGGGGACAGCAAUGGGACUGAAUGGGGACACCAAUGGGGCCACCAAUGGGACUGAAUGGGGACACCAAUGGGACUGAAUGAGAACACCAAUGGGGCGAGCAAUAGGGACACCAAUGGGACUGAAUGGGGCCACCAAUGGGACUGAAUGGGGACACCAAUGGGACUGAAUGAGAACACCAAUGGGGCGAGCAAUAGGGCCACCAAUGGGACUGAAUGGGGCCAGCAAUGGGGCGAGCAAUAGGGACACCAAUGGGACUGAAUGGGGCCACCAAUGGGGACACCAAUGGGACUGAAUGAGAACACCAAUGGGGCGAGCAAUAGGGCCACCAAUGGGACUGAAUGGGGCCACCAAUGGGGCCACCAAUGGGGCCACCAAUGGGACUGAAUGGGGACAGCAAUGGGGCCACCAAUAGGGCCACCAAUAGGGCCACCAAUGGGACUGAAUGGGGCCAACAAUGGGGCCACCAAUGGGACUGAAUGGGGCCACCAAUGGGGCCACCAAUGGGGCCACCAAUGGGACUGAAUGGGGACAGCAAUGGGGCCACCAAUAGGGCCACCAAUAGGGCCACCAAUGGGACUGAAUGGGGCCACCAAUAGGGCCACGAAUGGGACUGAAUGGGGCCACGAAUGGGACUGAAUGGGGCCGCAGUGCCCCCCCGCACUCAGCCAUUCCCCCCCCCCAACCCCGCAGCUGCCGCCGUCCGUCCGUCCGUCCGUCCCCGUCCGUCUGUCCCCAUCCAUCACCGCAGGCCGUCCCCAUCCCCGUCCGUCUGUCCCCAUCUGUCCCUCUGUCCGUCCCCGUCCCUCUGUCCCCAUCUGUCCCUCUGUCCUCCCUGCCCCUGGCCGGCUGUCCCCAUCUGUGUCCGUCUGUCUGUCCUGAUCCCCAUCUGUCCCCAUAUGUCCGUCUGUCCCCCUCCACGUCCGUCUGUCUGUCCUUAUCCCCAUCCGGCCCCGUCUGUCCGUCUGUCCCCAUCCAUGUCCGUCUGUCUGUCCCCAUCCGUGUCCGUCUGUCUGUCUGUCCCCAUCUGUCUGUCUGUCCCCCUCUGUGUCUGUCUGUCUGUCCCCAUCUGUGUCUGUCUGUCUGUCCCCAUUCGUGUCUGUCUGUCUGUCCCCAUCUGUGUCUGUCUGUCCCCAUCUGUCUGUGUCCGUCUGUCCCCAUCCAUGUCUGUCUGUCUGUCCCCAUCCGUGUCCGUCUGUCCGUCUGUCCCCAUCUGUCCGUCUGUCUGUCCCCAUCUGUGUCUGUCUGUCCCCAUCCAUGUCCAUCUGUCCUUAUCACUGUCUGUCUGUCCGUCCCCAUCUGUGUCCCCUUCUCCCUAUGUCCGUCUGUCCCCCUCCACGUCCGUCUGUCUGUCCUUAUCCCCAUCUGUCUCCGUCUGUCCGUCUGUCUGUCCCUAUCCGUGUCCGUCUGUCCCCCUCCACGUCCAUCUGUCCGUCUGUCCCCAUCCGUGUCCGUCCGUCUGUCCUUAUCCCCAUCUGGCCCCAUCUGUCCGUCUGUCCUCCUCCACAUCCGUCUGUCUGUCCCGGUCCAUAUGUCUGUCCUUAUCCCCAUCUGUCUCCGUCUGUCCCCAUCUGUUCCUGUCCCCGUCUGUCCGUCUGUCCCCCUCCAUGUCCGUCUGUCUGUCCCCACCUGUGUCUGUCUGUCCCCAUCCACGUCCGUCCGUCUGUCCCCAUCUGUCUGUGUCUGUCUGUCCCCAUCUGUGUCCCCUUCUCCCCACGUCCGUCCGUCUGUCCUUAUCCCCAUCUGUCCCCGUCUGUCCGUCUGUCCCCCUCCAUGUCCGUCUGUCUGUCCCGGUCUGUCUGUCUGUCUGUCCUUAUCCCCAUCUGGCCCAUAUGUCCGUCUGUCCCCAUCUGUCCCUGUCCCCGUCUGUCCGUCUGUCCCCAUCCACGUCUGUCUGUCUGUCCUUAUCCCCAUCUGUCCCCAUCUGUCCCCGUCUGUCCGUCUGUCCCCCUCCAUGUCUGUCUGUCUGUCCUUAUCCCCAUCUGUCCCCACUGCCGUCUGUCCCCAUCCAUGUCCGUCUGUCUGUCCUUAUCCCCAUCUGUCCCCAUCUGUCCGUCUGUCCCCAUCUGUCCCUGUCCCCGUCUGUCCGUCUGUCCCCAUCCACGUCUGUCUGUCUGUCCUUAUCCCCAUCUGUCCCCAUCUGUCCCCGUCUGUCCGUCUGUCCCCCUCCAUGUCUGUCUGUCUGUCCUUAUCCCCAUCUGUCCCCACUGCCGUCUGUCCCCAUCCAUGUCCGUCUGUCUGUCCUUAUCCCCAUCUGUCCCCAUAUGUCCGUCUGUCCCCAUCCGUGUCCGUCCGUCUGUCCUUAUCCCCAUCUGGCCCCGUAUGUCCCUAUGCCGUCUGUCCCCAUCCACGUCUGUCUGUCUGUCCCCAUCCCUGUCCAUCUGUCUGUCCUUAUCGCCAUCUGUCCGUCUGUCCCCAUCUGUCCCGGUCCCCGUCUGUCCGUCUGUCCCCCUCCACGUCCGUCUGUCUGUCCCGGUCUGUCCGUCUGUCCUUAACCCCAUCUGUCCCCAUAUGUCCGUCUGUCCCCAUCUGUUCCUGUCCCCGUCCGUCCGUCUGUCCCCAUCAGUGUCCGUCUGUCCCCCUCCACGUCCGUCUGUCUGUCCCCAUCUGUCCCGGUCCCCAUAUGUCCGUCUGUCCCCCUCCACGUCCGUCUGUCUGUCCUUAUCCCCAUCCAUCCACGUCCGUCUGUCUGUCCCCAUCUGUGUCUGUCUGUCCCCAUCUGUCUGUGUCUGUCUCUCCUCCUCCAUGUCUGUCUGUCUGUCCCCAUCUGUGUCUGUCUGUCCCCAUCCACGUCCGUCUGUCUGUCCCCAUCUGUGUCCGUCUGUCUGUCCCCAUCUGUGUCCGUCUGUCCCCCUCCAUGUCUGUCUGUCUGUGCCCAUCUGUGUCCAUCCAUCUGUCCCCAUCUGUGUCUGUCUGUCCCCAUCCAUGUCCGUCUGUCUGUCCGUCCCCAUCUGUGUCCCCUUCUCCCCAUGUCCGUCUGUCCCCCUCCACGUCGGUCUGUCUGUCCUUAUCCCCAUCUGUCCCCAUCUGUCCGUCUGUCCCCAUCUGUCCCUGUCCCCAUCUGUCCGUCUGUCCCCAUCCGUGUCCGUCCGUCUGUCCUUAUCCCCAUCUGGCCCCGUAUGUCCCUAUGCCGUCUGUCCCCAUCCACGUCUGUCUGUCUGUCCCCAUCCCUGUCCAUCUGUCUGUCCUUAUCGCCAUCUGUCCGUCUGUCCCCAUCUGUCCCGGUCCCCGUCUGUCCGUCUGUCCCCCUCCACGUCCGUCUGUCUGUCCCCAUCUGUCCCGGUCCCCAUAUGUCCGUCUGUCCCCCUCCACGUCCGUCUGUCUGUCCUUAUCCCCAUCCAUCCACGUCCGUCUGUCUGUCCCCAUCUGUGUCUGUCUGUCCCCAUCUGUCUGUGUCUGUCUCUCCUCCUCCAUGUCUGUCUGUCUGUCCCCAUCUGUGUCCGUCUGUCCCCCUCCACGUCCGUCUGUCUGUCCCGGUCUGUCUGUCUGUCUGUCCUUAUCCCCAUCUGGCCCCAUAUGUCCGUCUGUCCCCAUCUGUCCCUGUCCCCGUCUGUCCGUCUGUCCCCAUCCACGUCCGUCUGUCUGUCCUUAUCCCCAUCUGUCCCCGUCUGUCCGUCUGUCCCCCUCCAUGUCUGUCUGUCUGUCCUUAUCCCCAUCUGUCCCCACUGCCGUCUGUCCCCAUCCAUGUCCGUCUGUCUGUCCUUAUCCCCAUCUGUCCCCAUCUGUCCGUCUGUCCCCAUCUGUCCCUGUCCCCGUCUGUCCGUCUGUCCCCAUCCGUGUCCGUCCGUCUGUCCUUAUCCCCAUCUGGCCCCGUAUGUCCCUAUGCCGUCUGUCCCCAUCCACGUCUGUCUGUCUGUCCCCAUCCCUGUCCAUCUGUCUGUCCUUAUCGCCGUCUGUCCGUCUGUCCCCAUCUGUCCCGGUCCCCGUCUGUCCGUCUGUCCCGCUGCACGUCCGUCUGUCUGUCUGUUGUCUGUCUGUCUGUCCUUAUCCCCAUCUGGCCCCAUAUGUCCAUCUGUCCCUAUCUGUGUCCGUCUGUCCCACUCCACGUCCGUCUGUCUGUCCUUAUCCCCAUCUGUCUUUCUGUCCCCAUCUGUCCCUGUCCCCGUCUGUCCGUCUGUCCCUAUCCGUGUCUGUCUGUCCUCCUCCACGUCCGUCUGUCUGUCCCGGUCUGUCCGUCUGUCUGUCCUUAUCCCCGUCUGUCUGUCUGUCCCCAUCUGUCCCAGUCCCCGUCUGUCCGUCUGUCCCCAUCAGUGUCCGUCUGUCCCCCUCCACGUCCGUCUGUCUGUCCUUAUCCCCAUCUGUCCCCAUCUGUCCCAGUCCCCGUCCGUCUGUCUGUCCCCAUCAGUGUCCGUCUGUCCCCCUCCACGUCCGUCUGUCUGUCCCGGUCCAUCUGUCUGUCUGUCCUUAUCCCCAUCUGGCCCCAUAUGUCCCCAUCGCCGUCUGUCCCCAUCCACGUCCGUCCGUCUGUCCCCAUCUGUGUCCGUCUGUCCCCAUCUGUCCGUCUGUCUGUCCAUAUCCCCAUCCGUCUCCGUCUGUCCGUCUGUCCCCAUCUGUGUCUGUCUGUCCCCAUCCAUGUCCGUCUGUCUGUCCCCAUCCGUGUCCAUCUGUCUGUCCCCAUCCAUGUCUGUCUGUCUGUCCCCAUCCAUGUCUGUCUGUCCCCAUCUGUGUCCGUCUGUCUGUCCCCAUCUGUGUCCGUCUGUCCCCAUCUGUGUCUGUCUGUCCCCAUCCACGUCCGUCUGUCUGUCCCCAUCUGUGUCCGUCUGUCCCCAUCUGUGUCUGUCUGUCCCCAUCCAUGUCCAUCUGUCCUUAUCACUGUCUGUCUGUCCGUCCCCAUCUGUGUCCCCUUCUCCCUAUGUCCGUCUGUCCUCCUCCACGUCCGUCUGUCUGUCCUUAUCCCCAUCUGUCCCCGUCUGUCCGUCUGUCCCGCUGCACGUCCGUCUGUCUGUCUGUUGUCUGUCUGUCUGUCCUUAUCCCCAUCUGGCCCCAUAUGUCCAUCUGUCCCUAUCUGUGUCCGUCUGUCCUCCUCCACGUCCGUCUGUCUGUCCUUAUCGCCAUCUGUCCGUCUGUCCCCAUCUGUCCCCCUCCCCGUCUGUCCGUCUGUCCCCCUCCACGUCUGUCUGUCUGUCCCGGUCUGUCUGUCUGUCUGUCCUUAUCCCCAUCUGUCUCUGUCUGUCCCCAUCUGUCCCCAUAUGUCCGUCUGUCCCACUCCACGUCCGUCUGUCUGUCCUUAUCCCCAUCUGUCUUUCUGUCCCCAUCUGUCCCUGUCCCCGUCUGUCCGUCUGUCCCUAUCCGUGUCUGUCUGUCCUCCUCCACGUCCGUCUGUCUGUCCCGGUCUGUCCGUCUGUCUGUCCUUAUCCCCGUCUGUCUGUCUGUCCCCAUCUGUCCCAGUCCCCGUCCGUCCGUCUGUCCCCAUCAGUGUCCGUCUGUCCCCCUCCACGUCCGUCUGUCUGUCCCGGUCCAUCUGUCUGUCUGUCCUUAUCCCUAUCUGGCCCCAUAUGUCCGUCUGUCCCCAUCCACGUCCGUCUGUCUGUCCCCAUCUGUGUCUGUCUGUCCCCAUCCAUGUCUGUCUGUCCUUAUCACUGUCUGUCUGUCCGUCCCCAUCUGUGUCCCCUUCUCCCUAUGUCCGUCUGUCCCCCUCCACGUCCGUCUGUCUGUCCCGGUCUGUCUGUCUGUCUGUCCUUAUCCCCAUCUGGCCCCAUAUGUCCGUCUGUCCCCAUCUGUUCCUGUCCGUGUCUGUCCGUCUGUCCCCAUCCGUGUCUGUCUGUCUGUCCUUAUCCCCAUCCAUCUCUGUCUGUCCCCAUCUGUCCCGGUCCCCAUCUGUCCGUCUGUCCCCAUCCACGUCCGUCUGUCUGUCCUUAUCCCCAUCCAUCCACGUCCGUCCGUCUGUCCCCAUCCAUGUCCGUCUGUCUGUCCCCAUCCGUGUCUGUCUGUCCCCAUCUGUGUCUGUCUGUCCCCAUCUGUCUGUGUCUGUCUGUCCCCAUCCACGUCCGUCUGUCUGUCCCCAUCUGUGUCCGUCUGUCCCCCUCUGUGUCUGUCUGUCUGUCCCCAUCUGUCUGUGUCCGUCUGUCCCCAUCUGUGUCCGUCUGUCUGUCCCCAUCCGUGUCUGUCUGUCCCCAUCUGUCUGUGCCUCUCUGUCCCCAUCUGUGUCCGUCUGUCCCCAUCCAUGUCUGUCUGUCUGUCCCCAUCCGUGUCUGUCUGUCCCCAUCCACAUCCGUCUGUCUGUCCCUGCCCUCCACGUCUCAGCCCCACAUCGCAGCCCCACACAUUGCAGCCCCACACAUUGCAGCCCCACACAUUGCAGCCCUCUACCCCACAUCGCAGCCCCACAUCUCAGCCCCACACAUCACAGCCCCACACAUUGCAGCCCUCAGCCCCACAUAUCGCAGCCCCACACAUUACAGCCCUCAGCCCCACAUUGUAGUCCUCAACCCCCCAUCACAGCCCCCCAUCACAGCCCUCAGCCCCACACAUCACAGCCCCACAUCUCUGCCCUACACAUUACAGCUCUCUGCCCCACGUUGUAUUCCUCAACCCCCACAUUGCAGCCCCACAUAUCACAGCCCCACACAUCACAGCCCCACAUAUUGCAGCCCUCAACCCCCCCAUCACAGCCCCACAUCGCAGCCCUCAGCCCCACAUAUCACAGCCCCACACGUCACAGCCCCACAUAUUGCAGCCCUCAGCCCCACAUUACAGUCCUCAACCCCCCAUCGCAGCCCCCCAUCACAGCUCUCAGCCCCACACAUCGCAGCCCCACACAUCGCAGCCCUCAGCCCCACAUUACAGUCCUCAACCCCCCCCAUCACAGCCCCACAUCGCAGCCCUCUUCCCCACAUAUCUCAGCCCCACAUCUCAGCCCCACACAUCACAGCCCCACACAUUGCAGCCCUCUGCCCCACACUGUAGUCCUCAACCCCUCCAUCACAGCCCCCCAACGCAGGCCUCAGCCCCACAUAUCGCAGCCCCACAUCUCAGCCCCACACAUCGCAGCCCUCAGCCCCACAUCUCAGCCCCGCAUCACAGCCCUCAGCCCCACAUAUCGCAGCCCCACAUCGCAGCCCCACACAUCACAGCCCCACACAUCACAGCCCCACAUAUCGCAGCUCCACAUCUCAGCCCCACACAUCGCAGCCCCACACAUCACAACCCCACACAUUGCAGCCCUCAGCCCCACAUAUCACAGCCCCACACAUCAUUACAGCCCUCUGCCCCACAUUGUAGUCCUCAACCCCCCAUCACAGCCCCCCAUCACAGCCCUCAGCCCCACAUAUCUCAGCCCCACAUCUCAGCCCCACACAUCACAGCCCCACACAUUGCAGCCCUCUGCCCCACACUGUAGUCCUCAAGCCCUCCAUCACAGCCCCCCAACGCAGGCCUCAGCCCCACAUAUCGCAGCCCCAC